rnacentral:rRNA from 1 species
ACUUUAAUUGAGUGCUAAGAGAAUGGGAAUAACAGAAAAAAUCUUUUUUAAACUUAAUAAUUGAAGUUAUUUUUAUUUGUGAAGAAACAAUAAUUAAAAUUAAGGACAAGAAGACCCUAUGAAUUUUUUGAAAUAUAUUUCAAUUAAAGAAAAUAUAUUUAUUUAAUUGGGGCGAUUAAUUAAUAUUUUGAACUUUUUUGCAAAAAAAUGAACCGUUUAAUAGCGGUAAAUUGGAAAAAUACUCUAGGGAUAACAGCGUAAUAAUUUUAGAUAGUUCGUAUUGACAAAAUAGUUUGCGACCUCGAUGUUGGAUUAGGAUGUUUUUUUGGCGAAGAAGUUAAAAAAAAAAGUUUGUUCAACUUUUAAAUUCCUACUUGAUCUGAGUUCGGACCGGACCC